rnacentral:rRNA from 1 species
AUUGAACGCUGGCGGCAGGCCUAACACAUGCAAGUCGAACGGUAACAGGAAACAGCUUGCUGUUUCGCUGACGAGUGGCGGACGGGUGAGUAAUGUCUGUGAAACUGCCUGAUGGAGGGGGAUAACUACUGGAAACGGUAGCUAAUACCGCAUAACGUCGCAAGACCAAAGAGGGGGACCUUCGGGCCUCUUGCCAUCGGAUGUGCCCAGAUGGGAUUAGCUAGUAGGUGGGGUAACGGCUCACCUAGGCGACGAUCCCUAGCUGGUCUGAGAGGAUGACCAGCCACACUGGAACUGAGACACGGUCCAGACUCCUACGGGAGGCAGCAGUGGGGAAUAUUGCACAAUGGGCGCAAGCCUGAUGCAGCCAUGCCGCGUGUAUGAAGAAGGCCUUCGGGUUGUAAAGUACUUUCAGCGGGGAGGAAGGGAGUAAAGUUAAUACCUUUACUCAUUGACGUUACCCGCAGAAGAAGCACCGGCUAACUCCGUG